rnacentral:rRNA from 1 species
AUGAAAGGUGGCAAGGCGUUGAGCCCUGAUUGUAUCCCCAUUGAGGUGUGGAGAGGCCUCGGAGACAUAAUGAUAGUAUGGCUAACUAAGCUUUUCAACCUCAUUUUUCAGGCAAACAAGACGCCAGAAGAAUGGAGGCGGAGUAUAUUAGUACUAAUCUUCAAGAACAAGGGGGAUGUUCAAAGUUGUACUAAUCACUGUGGAAUUAAGCUGAUGAGCCAUACAAUGAAGCUAUGGGAGAGAGUAUUUGAGCACCGCUUAAGAAGAAUGACAAGCGUGACCAAAAAUCAGUUUGGUUUCAUGUCUGGGAGGUCGACCAUGGAGGCCAUUUUCUUGGUACGACAACUUAUGGAGAGAUAUAGGGAGCAAAAGAAGGGCCUGCAUAUGGUGUUCAUUGACUUAGAGAAGGCCUACGAUAAGAUAUCGCAGAAUGUCAUCUGGUGGGCCUUGGAGAAACACAAAGUCCCAACAAAGUACAUUACCCUCAUCAAGGACAUGGGACAUCUCCUUAUACAUCCCUUGUGA